GGAUGGACCAGGCAUCCAGCCAGGGUCCUUUAUGAAACAGACAACUUUGAAAACAUUGUUAGCAGGUGGAAGCAGUCCUGCUACACAUCAGACAUCCAGUCGGAGUAUGAAAAUUCAAAGAGAGAGAGAAAGGACUGCCUUGAGAAAUCCGGCCAUACAUGCCACAGAGGCCGAGGCCGAAAAAUGCCUACAAGAUUU